AUUGAACGCUGGCGGCAUGCUUUACACAUGCAAGUCGAACGGCAACGAGGAGAAGCUUGCUUCUCUGUCGGCGAGUGGCGAACGGGUGAGUAUAGCAUCGGAACGUGCCAAGUAGUGGGGGAUAACCAAACGAAAGUUUGGCUAAUACCGCGUAAGCUCCAAGGAGGAAAGUAGGGGACCUAAAUAAGGCCUUACGCUAUUUGAUCGGCCGAUGUCGGAUUAGCUAGUUGGUGGGGUAAUGGCUCACCAAGGCAAUGAUCCGUAGCGGGUCUGAGAGGACGAUUCGCCACACUGGGACUGAGACACGGCCCAGACUCCUACGGGAGGCAGCAGUGGGGAAUUUUGGACAAUGGGGGAAACCCUGAUCCAGCCAUGCCGCGUGUAUGAAGAAGGCCUUAGGGUUGUAAAGUACUUUUGUUAGGGAAGAAAAGCUAGUUUUUAAUAAAAAUUAGUGAUGACGGUACCUAAAGAAUAAGCACCGGCUAACUACGUG
rnacentral:rRNA from 1 species